UACUUACUCGUGUCAAUUAAUUCCAGCCUUGGAUAAUCGACUCUGUAGUAAAAACUUCGCUUCGGGCGGCGCUGUCGCUUGAAAUUUUUUAAAUUUGCAGUCUUGUUUGAAAAUUUCGCGUUAAUUGGCGAGCCUUAAUGACUAUUACGGCGUUGAUAUAAUACAGUACUUUAUACUACGAGAGAAGAAUGGAAAAAGAAUUUGACGCAAUACUGUCAACUGGCCAGAAUAAUUCGCUCCGACAAGCAUCAUUAUCCCCACUACUUCUUGCAACAAUAUUCGUGGAGAUAGAGUUUCGCUGGAAUACUUUCAUCCACAGAUGAAUUUAAUAACGCGAGGCGAUUGAAACGCGAUUGAGCCGCCAAGGUUCUCCUCCUGUUCCUUUUCUGAUCAGUAGCACAUUCUUCCUGAGGCACGUUACGUCUGGUAAAUGUUUCCCAGUAUGUCUAUUAUUUGCUGGCCGAUACGGGGCGAUCCAAGAUUCAUCGACAUCCGUGAAAGUGGAACGCAACGUCAGUGAAUUGUCAUCCGUGAAUCAUUCCCGUGUUUGUCCAAGGUACGCGCGUCUCAAGUACAGUCCAUCCGCAGAUUUCGUUCUCCUUUCAGCCCUUGGCUGAGCGCCGUCGUCAGAGGAUAUCUUCCACAGCCGCACAGAUUUCUGAAGUCGUCUAGAUCCAAGGACCACAACGCAGCGCCGCCAAGAUUCAGAUCUCUUAUGAAUUCCGCCUGGAAGAAAACAAACGGACGUAUGAAACGUAUCCUAGGUAAGAUAAACGAAACGUCGUUGGUUCGUUGAAGCUACUCACUUGUCGCAGAGAAUCUUCGCACUUGGUGUUUUCCGGCCAAUCGCAACGAUUCUCGUUCCAAUAAAGACCAGGAGGGCAAGAGUGUUCGGUGAGCUUGCCAAAAUUGCACAAGAAGUACUUGGAGCAGUCUUUCUUAUGAGGAACGAAUAUGCGAUUGCCGCAGUCGUCCGACGAACCGGUCGCUGGCGGCUCGGCUUCUAUUUCGAUGGUAUCGUCGAUGUCAAAAUCUGGAUCACCGGUUGUAGACGCCGGUGGAUACUUGCCAUUCGUUACUGGACACAACGGGCCUUUGGGAUAGUUUCUUAGAACUCUGUUCAUGGUUCUCAGAAGCGGGCUAGGCUCGCAGCCGCAUCUGUUUUUGAAAUCGUCCAGGUCGAGGGCCCACACCAUGCCGCCGCCCAAGCCAAGGUCCCUUAUUAAUUCUGCCUUCAGUUUAAUCUGUCUGGCAUCAUCGAAGCUGACCCACUGAUCGCCCUUGUACGCGUAUGGACCGAUACGUCGUUCUUUAUCUUGGACCACAGUCCAACCCUUCUUCAAUGUCCUCUCGCAUAUCUGUGAUCGUUCAGAGACGACGACAUUACAUUUAUUAUAAAUGUUUAUGAAAAAAAACGAAACAGUAGGAAAUCAAGUAGCAAGUGGAAUAUUUGCCUCGUAGUAAGACAGGAAACCUCUGGCUCUUGUUGCUUCGCCGGCCUCACCGCCACCGUAAGUUGGCGCGUUUAAUCCUCUCUGACUUCUCUCCGCCAAAGAGAAGGAUUGACCGUACAGAGGUGCCCCCAUUACAAGCUUCUCUGCCGGAGCGCCUUUCUCCAUCCAAUAGUGAAUCGUGAAGUUCUGCACAUGUUCAGAAUUUUUUCUUUUUUUUUUUUUUUUUUUUUAUAAAAGAAAGACAUAGAAAGAGAUUCGUUUUCUGGAAAAUCGAGAAAGCUCAGAAUUCAGCAAAGCACUUACCACGUUAAAGGUCGGCUCCCAGUCAUUAGAUAUCCAGUCCAGAUAUUCUGCCAAAAUUGGUACGUCGUAGCCGGCGUCAACGACUCGUUUGCUCGGGGAAACCGCGGCGGAUAACAGGAAGCCCCUCGGUCUGAACCGUUCGCUCAAUUCCUUCACCAAACUGGCGAAGCCCUCUUUGUCCGAAACUGGACCUUUCUUACAAUCGACCUAAAAUUUAGUGGCAAGAUUUUGUUACGCACCGAAGACUCAAGAUUGAAGAUUAUUCGAAGG